CAGUCGCCGCGGUAAUACGAAGGGGGCUAGCGUUGUUCGGAUUUACUGGGCGUAAAGCGCACGUAGGCGGAUCGAUCAGUCAGGGGUGAAAUCCUGGAGCUCAACUCCAGAACUGCCUUUGAUACUGUCGAUCCCGAGUCCGGAAGAGGUGAGUGGAACUCCUAGUGUAGAGGUGGAAUUCGUAGAUAUUAGGAAGAACACCAGUGGCGAAGGCGGCUCACUGGUCCGGUACUGACGCUGAGGUGCGAAAGCGUGGGGAGCAAACAGGAUUAGAUACCCGCGUAGUCCCUGUCUCUUAUAC
rnacentral:rRNA from 1 species